rnacentral:rRNA from 1 species
AUUACCCAAUUCGGACACAGGGAGGUAGUGACAAGAAAUAACAAUACGGGGCUUUAUGUCUUGUAAUUGGAAUGAUGGGAAUUUAAACCUCUUCCAGAGUAUCAAUUGGAGGGCAAGUCUGGUGCCAGCAGCCGCGGUAAUUCCAGCUCCAAUAGCGUAUAUUAAAAUUGUUGCAGUUAAAAAGCUCGUAGUUGAAUUUCUGCUGCAUUGCAUCUUCUUUUUGAUGAGUUGAUGUAUUGUGGCUUAUUUCGGAUGAUACUUGUAUUAUCCGGAUGAUUACUUUGAGAAAAUUAGAGUGCUCAAAGCAGGCUUUUGCCUUGAAUAGUUUAGCAUGGAAUAAUAAAGUAGGACUUUGGUUCUAUUUUGUUGGUUUUAGGUACCAAAGUAAUGGUUAAUAGGAACAGUUGGGGGCAUUCGUAUUUAA